UGGUGUAGCGGUGAAAUGCUUAGAUAUCACGAAGAACUCCGAUUGCGAAGGCAGCCUGCUAAGCUGCAACUGACAUUGAGGCUCGAAAGUGUGGGUAUCAAACAGGAUUAGAUACCCUGGUAGUCCACACGGUAAACGAUGAAUACUCGCUGUUUGCGAUAUACGGCAAGCGGCCAAGCGAAAGCGUUAAGUAUUCCACCUGGGGAGUACGCCGGCAACGGUGAAACUCAAAGGAAUUGACGGGGGCCCGCACAAGCGGAGGAACAUGUGGUUUAAUUCGAUGAUACGCGAGGAACCUUACCCGGGCUUGAAUUGCAGAGGAAGGAUUUGGAGACAAUGACGCCCUUCGGGGUCUCUGUGAAGGUGCUGCAUGGUUGUCGUCAGCUCGUGCCGUGAGGUGUCGGCUUAAGUGCCAUAACGAGCGCAACCCUUGUUGUCAGUUACUAACAGGUUCUGCUGAGGACUCUGACAAGACUGCCAUCGUAAGAUGUGAGGAAGGUGGGGAUGACGUCAAAUCAGCACGGCCCUUACGUCCGGGGCUACACACGUGUUACAAUGGGGGGUACAGAGGGCCGCUACCACGCGAGUGGAUGCCAAUCCCAAAAACCUCUCUCAGUUCGGACUGGAGUCUGCAACCCGACUCCACGAAGCUGGAUUCGCUAGUAAUCGCGCAUCAGCCACGGCGCGGUGAAUACGUUCCCGGGCCUUGUACACACCGCCCGUCAAGCCAUGGGAGCCGGGGGUACCUGAAGUGCGUAACCGCGAGGAGCGCCCUAGGGUAAAACUGGUGACUGGGGCUAAGUCGUAACAAGGUAGCCGUACCGGAAGGUGCGGCUG
rnacentral:rRNA from 1 species